AGAAAGAAACUGAGCAAGAAAAUUCGGAAAGAUUUUAGAAAAGUGUGGAAAAGACUUUUGUAUUGAUAAAAUAAGCUACAUUUUUCAUUAACGCAUAAAACUUGCAAUACAAAUUGUUUCGUAUGCUAAAUCGAUAAAAGGAAAAUUAUGUGGCGAGCUAUGAAAAGUGCAAGUAGUAAAGAAUUGGAGUAACGUGGCAGCAGGAUUUACUUCGGUGCAGCUGUACCCAUGGAUGAAACAACCAGAUUUGGUGGCCUAGUCAGAUAUACGGUGGCUGUUAACGCUCAGCGGUUGGCUGGUAUUGAAUUGUGAGGAGCCUUUUUUUGCAUGUUUGUGUGUAUCUGGAUGCAGGCGACUCACUGUGGCACAGUAUUAGCAAACCCUCAGCAAUAUUUCAAUAAUAUGCCUGCAGGUAGAGUAAAUUUUAGCUGAAUAAAAUUUCUGUAGUGCUCAAUUAAAAUUGGAUGAUGACAGUUAAUGUGAAGUAAAAUUACCGCAGCACGAAAGUUAAUCGUCGUCACCUGCAAUGUCCAACUGCCAGAACUAGGAAAAAUCAAUAUUGCAACAUUUCUCGUGACCAUCAAAAAUUUACUAUGAAUUUAAGCGAAAUGAAAUUGUGCGCAUUGUAGUGAAGAGAAUAUCAAAAUAAAAACACUUAUAUAAUUCGUUCUAAAUAAGCAAAAACCGAAACAAGAAAAAAAGUAUAGGAAUGAUAGAGUAUAGAGACUCUGUCAGAAUUUUGUAUCCAAUAGCUAUGCGCGUUUGUUAUGUGUGUUUGUGUGCGCUUAGCCUUAACAUCCAUAUGCUCCAAUCAAUACAGUUGCUCGAAGGCGUUAAUAACUAAAACACAUUGCAGCUGGCAUUGUGCUAUGUUAAUACAUGAACACUCUCGCAUACAUGCACCAAUUUUCUACAGCUACAGCUACGCGCCUGAUAGAUAGGCAAGGAAUUCGGUUACUGUUUGCGUUAAGUAAAUGAAAUAUUAGCUGGCAAAAACUGCGCUGAAUAAACAGAGCGCAAAAAUUAACAAGAGACUACAACAAUUCGGACCCCCAUACAUACACACACCUGUAUAUUUCAAAUUCAACUGCCAAGCGUAUACUGCGCGCCGCCUCCACAAUACAAUGGGCAAGAAAAAGGUACCGAGCGAGGACCUAAUUGUCCCCCCACAGGAUCAGCGCAUUUGUGGCACUAUUUGCGUGUGUCAAAUGACGCUAGUGCUCAGUUCAGUGGCGCUAGUCUAUCUAACUGUCGCCAUUUACAUGCCGUCGACGCGCGCCUUCAAGAGCGGCAUCGAUCCAACGCCCGUCAUGUGCACCACCACACGUGCCGUUAACAAGGACAACUGCGAGUGGGGCUCGUGUGGCGAAUGGUGUCUGAGUAAGACUUCUGGCGCCUGCAUACAAAUCUACGUAAAUCUCCGUACCAAUGGCACCAAUCUCACCUUCCAGAAUUGCACGAAUUCGGCGAAUAAAACGUGCUAUGGCAUCGACCAGGACCGCGCGGAUAAGGCGCGUUGCAUUAAUGAUGAGUGUAAAAAUUUGACUGGCACAUUCAAUUGCACUGAAGGUCAAUGUUUGAAUAUAACCGAUGCUUUUGAGUGUGUUUUCAAAAAUAGUGAUUCGCCGGUUAAGUGUUCGGGUAGACGGGGGAAAAUCAAUUGUAUGGACAUAAACGGUUUGUUUUCGUGUAAUCGUGGCACUUGUCGCAAAAUUCGUACCCCCUACAAUUGCGAUCGACGUUGUGUUGACAUACCAACACGCAAUAAGAAUGUAGUAGUGCUAAGUGGUGACAAAGUAUAUUUGUCGCAAUGUCAGAACGCUAUCAAUACAGAGACAAAAGAAGAGGUGUGGAACGAAUCGGCCGAUAAUGUAGUGAUGGCCUCGUGUUACUUCAUCAAAAAUACCUCGGAUCGUGUGGAGGCAUUGGAUUGCAUCAAUGGUUCCACACUCGAACACAAUAUGCUCACCGAUCUUACCAAUUUCACCUAUCUAAGCCAUUUGCACAUAUCGGUUUCGGUGCCAACACCAGAGAUUGCACCACCUGAUUUCGAUCUAACUAUUUCGAACGAGUCGAAACUAAUGAUAAAUCUUGAGGGUUGUGUAAAUACGCUGAUGGAUGAGUGCAAGGAGUUCUUGAAGGAUUUCGGUCGUGAUGGUAGCGAUCAUAAUGCACGCGCGCGCUUCCCUUGCUUCUACUCGCCCUUGAAAAAGGAAAUUGUUGUUGCGCGCUUCGAUUUGGAAGUCACCUAUCGGCAGUUUGUUGUUGCUUCGGUAGUGCCAUCAGUGUUGUUCGUGGUGUCCUGUUUGGUGUUGCUACUCUGUCAGAAGACCGUUUAUGUGGGCGACGAUGCAAAAAUGCGUUUCAAAGGUUGUGUGGAUACUGAUACGAUACUGGCGAAAAAUAAUAUAGGCUCCCAAAAUAAUUUAGGCGAUACUGGUGGAGGGGGAGGCGACGAUGUAAUGGCGCUAUGAGAUCCGUCACCAUACUUUCAGCUGCAUCAACGCGGAUUGAAGCCUGAAAGCUCAAAUAUUUACCCACCUUUUUGAACAUUUGUGCUGUUAUUAUUGUCCGUAAACGUCGUUUAUGCUGUAGGUUUCAGAGCAUAUUGUGAAUAACUACAUUUGAGUAACCGUAGAAGCGGUACCUAUUGUACAUAUCUAAGUACGGAGAAAGUUUAGAGUUUUCACCAAAUAAAGAGCCAAACCUAAUCUUGUAUUUUAGUAAAUGCGACGCUUUCAAUAUGUGCAUUCCUCUGCUUCAAGAAGACAGUCCCAUACAUCAAGCUGGAGUGUUUGCUAUGCAAUAAAGCGACAAGUAAACUAACAGUAACAAC